UACGGGGGGAGCAAGCGUUGUUCGGAUUUACUGGGCGUAAAGCGUGCGCAGGCGGUUGUGCAAGACAGUUGUGAAAUCCCCGGGCUCAACCGUGGGAACUGCAUCUGUGACUGCAUCGCUGGAGUGCGGCAGAGGGGGAUGGAAUUCCGCGUGUAGCAGUGAAAUGCGUAGAUAUGCGGAGGAACACCGAUGGCGAAGGCAAUCCCCUGGGCCUGCACUGACGCUCAUGCACGACAGCGUGGGGAGCAAACAGG
rnacentral:rRNA from 1 species